GUGAGUAUAGUUUAAAAAAAUUCUAGUCUGUGACCCUAGAGAUGGGAACUAACCACCCCUACCCACC
rnacentral:tRNA from 2 species